UAGAUUCCCCUUAACUGGGAGCUACAGCAGCAACAAACCUGACUUAAUUGGCCAAAAAUUAUCGCACGCUGCUCAAGCACCUUCUGACACCACUGACCCGACUAAACUAAGAUGGCCGAAUCGAAACUCCAUAUUUAUAGAGACGACGAAACUACCGGAAAUCUAGUGCUAUCCCUCUUCCUCGUCAAAACAAAACUAUAGAAAAAAAAACAACCCAUUUACAUCUGCCACAAGAGUGACGAGUAGUGACAACAGCUUCAGCUCAAGCCCGUUGCCAAGCAUCACCGGCGAAACCACAACAUGCAGGUGGAAAACGUCAUGCCCGAGUCAACACGAACAAGAGGACGUAAAACAAACUCCAUAAGCAUCAGAAAUCCGGCAUCAAAGCCCUACUGGAAAUGACGGUCACAGGCUCCGUUCCCAACAAUUUUCAAGGAGACCACGGUGCCACCAGAAAUUGGGUAAUUAUUUUAUUUAUUUAAAUGAAUUCCAAAAAUACAUACACCAAAAGAUAGCCGAAUCCCCGCACAUCCCACUGAACCGACAUCUCAGAGAAAUCUAUCGCGAUCGGCCAAAUAUCCUGUGAUAAAGAAUCAGUUUCCAAACGUGGCGUGACAAGAUAUCUCAAUUCGUAAGAUUUUAGGGUAUUCCUUGGCAACGCUGUGAGUACUACAGCGCCCACAUGGUCCAGUUAGCAAAAUCCAGACACGUGAACUUAGCUAACAGGCGCCGAAUGUCUAAACAAAUGUCAAGAUGAAGUCAAAGCAUCGGCCCUCAAAAGAAAUCCUCUCUCCGAGAUGAAAUCUUACAAAACAAGGCGAACGAGGAAUGCCAAGAGUUAAAAAACAAACAGGAUAUCGCGACCAAUCAACAACAGAUAACCAGUGAGAAAAUACGAAACACCGGCACAACAGAGUAUUGCCAAACUGAACCCACACAACCGCGAAACCCAACAGAUCAGUCACGUCACAGGGUGCAAAGCCACAGCGAAGGGACUCGUAGGGGACAAGCUCAGGAAAUGCAUAGUCUCGGAGUAAUUUUUUACAUUGCCACCAUAAUGGCCCCUCAAAGAGAAUUUAUUAAUAAGGUACUGUACUUAUUAUAGUCAAUAAAUAUUCAAUUACUAUUACAA